UACGGGGGGGGCAAGCGUUGUUCGGAAUUACUGGGCGUAAAGGGCUCGUAGGCGGCCAACUAAGUCAGACGUGAAAUCCCUCGGCUUAACCGGGGAACUGCGUCUGAUACUGGAUGGCUUGAAUCCGGGAGAGGGAUGCGGAAUUCCAGGUGUAGCGGUGAAAUGCGUAGAUAUCUGGAGGAACACCGGUGGCGAAGGCGGCAUCCUGGACCAGCACUGACACUGAGGCACGAAAGCGUGGGGAGCAAACAGG
rnacentral:rRNA from 1 species